GUCUUAAAAGUGAUUAUUCAUUUUUGGUUUCGGCCCAUUAGGUAGCAGAGAAGUUCUGUUUUAAGACU
rnacentral:tRNA from 1 species